rnacentral:rRNA from 1 species
UAAUACGGAGGGGGCUAGCGUUGUUCGGAAUUACUGGGCGUAAAGCGCGCGUAGGCGGACCUGCAAGUCGGGGGUGAAAGCCCGAGGCUCAACCUCGGAACUGCCUUCGAUACUGCGGGUCUCGAGUCCGGGAGAGGUGAGUGGAAUUCCUAGUGUAGAGGUGAAAUUCGUAGAUAUUAGGAAGAACACCAGUGGCGAAGGCGGCUCACUGGCCCGGUACUGACGCUGAGGCGCGAAAGCGUGGGGAGCAAACAGGAUUAGAUACCCUGGUAGUCCACGCCGUAAACGAUGGAAGCUAGCCGUUGGCAAGUUUACUUGUCGGUGGCGCAGCUAACGCAUUAAGCUUCCCGCCUGGGGAGUACGGUCGCAAGAUUA